UACAGAGGGAAUAGUGCAGUCC
rnacentral:piRNA from 1 species